GUGGCUGUGGCUCAGUGGUAGAGUGCUGGCUUAGCAUGUGCAAGCCACUGGGUUUGAUCCUCAGCAACA
rnacentral:tRNA from 1 species